rnacentral:lncRNA from 1 species
CUCAAAUCUGAAUUGCAGUCAUGUGGUCCUCAGCCGGUAGCCGGCAUCGCAGUAUCUCCCUCCUCCACCACUGCGAUGGGGGGAGGGGGGGGGAGUGCCCCGCGCUGCGUACUCUACAAUGCCCCGGUGUGAGUCACAGUUGCGUUACGGGUCCCGAAGACAGCAUCGCGCAGCUUAUUUUCCCGCGCUAAAAUCAAAGUUACGUGUUUUAUCCCACCGCAAUCGACUUUUUUUUUUCGCUCUCUACAGUGAAUUUUACAAUUGCAAUUUGAAUGGAUUGUCACGCCAACGAUACAGUGAGAUCAAUUGAUCUAGUGACGCGUCGAUCAUUAAUUUUAACCGCCUAUUUUUCUCGCGCUGACCUUUGGGCUCAAUCAGUUCUAAGAACAGUGCGUGUGUGAUAUGGCAGGCUAGACAAACCGGGUCCAAAUAUGCCGAGAUUCUGAAGCUCGAGUGCCAUCUUUUCUUGAAAUAAAAUUGUGUAUUCGUGUCUGUGCGGAUCUAGUUUACUGUCAAUAGUUUUUUUACAAUCCAUACAUUUUAGACCCCUCGACUAAUGCCCCGAAAUACUUACCACCAAUCACUACUUCAAACACGAAAGCCCUCGAUCUAAAGUCUGCUGUAAGUGAAUCUGUUUCAUACAAGGCCUUUACAUUUUCCGGUAACGGUAACUUGAGAUUGGUGAGAUAUCGAAUCGAAUCGGGGUUUUUUCGUCGAUUUCUAAGUGAAUCAGUGUUUACGUUCUACCACGGUGGUUCCGUAAGUCUUAUGGUUACGGUUUUUACGGUCUGGUACGUCCCGUGUGUUUACACCCGUAAGUGCCCAUGCGGUGAGCCUGUGUCGGCGUCACCUUAAAGUGCCCCCCCCCCCCCUCACGACUUAUCGCCGGAAUCAAAAUGAGUGCAUCAAUUCGCUUCGUGUGUGUGGCCUUGUGCUUAGUGUCAGUGCACAUCUCAGGAAUAAACAGUGAGAGGAGCCUGUGUGACGUCUGUGCUUGCUCCCCCAACAGUGAUGAGCCCAUCAGGAUUUCAUGCGACUGCCAGAAAUCGAAGAUGCUGUUCUUCAAGGAGGAGGACGAACAGACCCUGAUGCAGACGGAGGAACUUCGGAUCUCGGCGUGCAACUUCCUCUCGCUGCCGGCCAACGGCUUCGUCCGCGCCACCAAGCUCCGUCACCUUCGUCUGGACUCCCUCAACUACUUCCACUUCUUCCGCGGGGUGUUCCCCUACCUGGAGACCCUCCACGUGGACCGCGUCGCCAACUUCAUCUUCGCCGAGCUGUCGCUGAGCACCGGGAAACAGCUCGAGAGGAUAACCCUCCGCCACACCAACCUCAAGGAGCUCCCGCCGUUGGCACUCCACGAGGCCCGCGGAUUGAAGAGCUUCGAUAUCCACGGCUGCAACAUCACCACCGUCACCCCUGGGGCGCUCUUCAACGCCAACAACACCAACUCUCCGCUCAGUCUCCGCAUCACCGACUCAGUUAUCUCGCAAAUCAUGGAGGACGGCAUCAACAUCCUGGGUGAGGAGCUGGCCGUCCGUAACUCGACGAUCGGGAUGCUGGGGCCCCGCUCCGUAACGGCAGCCGUCCGUAACUUCGCGGUGGCCACCUCCACGUUCACGGACGUCAACGCCGACUCGCUCCACGUCAAGGCGGCCGUCAUCAACAUCAGCGGCAACGCUUUCGCCGCCCUUCCACCACCUUUCCUUAGUGACCUCCACAUCACUGAUGCGGAGGCCGCCUCCGCGGAGGACAUGUUCCCCGAUGAGGACCAGAGGGUCAAGAUCGAGUUCGCUAAUAACUACCUGGACGAUAUCGACCUUAGCGCCUUCUUCUUGAAGCUCCGUUAUCGAGAGGUGAAUUUCCAGAAGAAUCGAAUCGACUGCGAUUGUGCUCCGGCCCGGACAGCCGUCUUCAAACUGCCGACUCUGUUCCCAGGGCUCUCGCCGAUGGCCAACAGAACGGCUUACGAGUACAUCAUCGAGCACAAUUAUUGUGCCCAGCAGAACGUUUCGCUCGGCGAGUACGGUCGCCAGUUCCUAGGGGGCGCUGUUUGUUCUGACAGAGCCCUCAACGAUGCGCCCACGGAGCUCAACGAGAUCACCGAUGAGCCCAUCCCGCAGAAGAACUUGCUAGCAGCUGGUGCUGCUGUCAGUCAUUCGCUCUGUUUAUGGUUCAUUGUCGCCGUUCCCUUGCUUAGGCUUACGUGA